rnacentral:rRNA from 2 species
UGCAGUCGAGCGAACGGAUUAGAAGCUUGCUUCUAUGACGUUAGCGGCGGACGGGUGAGUAACACGUGGGCAACCUGCCUGUAAGACUGGGAUAACUUCGGGAAACCGAAGCUAAUACCGGAUAGGAUCUUCUCCUUCAUGGGAGAUGAUUGAAAGAUGGUUUCGGCUAUCACUUACAGAUGGGCCCGCGGUGCAUUAGCUAGUUGGUGAGGUAACGGCUCACCAAGGCAACGAUGCAUAGCCGACCUGAGAGGGUGAUCGGCCACACUGGGACUGAGACACGGCCCAGACUCCUACGGGAGGCAGCAGUAGGGAAUCUUCCGCAAUGGACGAAAGUCUGACGGAGCAACGCCGCGUGAGUGAUGAAGGCUUUCGGGUCGUAAAACUCUGUUGUUAGGGAAGAACAAGUGCGAGAGUAACUGCUCGUACCUUGACGGUACCUAACCAGAAAGCCACGGCUAACUACGUGCCAGCAGCCGCGGUAAUACGUAGGUGGCAAGCGUUAUCCGGAAUUAUUGGGCGUAAAGCGCGCGCAGGCGGUUUCUUAAGUCUGAUGUGAAAGCCCACGGCUCAACCGUGGAGGGUCAUUGGAAACUGGGGAACUUGAGUGCAGAAGAGAAAAGCGGAAUUCCACGUGUAGCGGUGAAAUGCGUAGAGAUGUGGAGGAACACCAGUGGCGAAGGCGGCUUUUUGGUCUGUAACUGACGCUGAGGCGCGAAAGCGUGGGGAGCAAACAGGAUUAGAUACCCUGGUAGUCCAACGCCGUAAACGAUGAGUGCUAAGUGUUAGAGGGUUUCCGCCCUUUAGUGCUGCAGCUAACGCAUUAAGCACUCCGCCUGGGGAGUACGGUCGGCAAGACUGAAACUCAAAGGAAUUGACGGGGUCCGCACCAAGCGGUGGGAGCAUGUGGUUUAAUCGAAGCAACGC